rnacentral:rRNA from 1 species
UACAGAGGGGGCAAGCGUUGUUCGGAAUUAUUGGGCGUAAAGAGCUCGUAGGCGGUGUGUCGCGUCGGCCGUGAAAACCUGGGGCUUAACUCUGGGCGUGCGGUCGAUACGGGCAUCACUAGAGUUCGGCAGGGGAGACUGGAAUUCCUGGUGUAGCGGUGAAAUGCGCAGAUAUCAGGAGGAACACCGGUGGCGAAGGCGGGUCUCUGGGCCGAUACUGACGCUGAGGAGCGAAAGCAUGGGUAGCGAACAGG